rnacentral:ncRNA from 1 species
AUAAAAGCUAAGAUUAGGACAGUACUCUAAAAGGUAGCUUAAAGAGAGUGGGGGUAGGUGAAAACCCAUAGUGAAUAAUUAGAGGAAGAUCACCUAGGAGCUGAGAACUGAAAUUAAGUAAGUUUUUCCGUAUUUCUGCGUUAAGGAAUAGGAUAUGUAAGUAUCCGAAAUUAUUAACACUGUAGGUGGUAUAGCGAAGUAACUUCGUCCUUAGU